CUGUAAGCUAAACCUGACAUACUGUAAGCUAAACCUGACAUACUGUAAGCUAAACCUGACAUACUGUAAGCUAAACCUGACAUACUGUAAGCUAAACUGACAUACUGUAAGCUAAACUGACAUACUGUAAGCUAAACUGACAUACUGUAAGCUAAACUCUAGCUCCAAUAGCGUAUAUUAAAGUUGUUGCGGUUAAAAAGCUCGUAGUUGGAUCUCAGUCGCGCUCCCUUCGAUGCGUUGCAAAGCGUCUAUCGUUGGGGCCGACAGCACGUUGGUGGGCCCGGUUGGCUUUUACCGGUUGAUCGGGUUCUCCGGCAAUUUUACUUUGAAAAAAUUAGGGUGCUCAAAGCAGGCUGGUGCCUGGAUAUUGGUGCAUGGAAUAAUGGAAUAGGACCUCGGUUCUAUUUUGUUGGUUUUCGGAUCCCGAGGUAAUGAUUGAGAGGGACAGACGGGGGCAUUCGUAUUGCGGCGCUAGAGGUGAAAUUCUUGGACCGCUGCAAGACGAACUACUGCGAAAGCAUUUGCCAAGAAUGUUUUCAUUAAUCAAGAACGAAAGUUAGAGGUUCGAAGGCGAUCAGAUACCGCCCUAGUUCUAACCAUAAACGAUGCCAACCAGCGAUCCGCCUGAGUUCCUUAAACGACUCGGCGGGCAGCUUCCGGGAAACCAAAGUUUUUGGGUUCCGGGGGAAGUAUGGUUGCAAAGCUGAAACUUAAAGGAAUUGACGGAAGGGCACCACCAGGAGUGGAGCCUGCGGCUUAAUUUGACUCAACACGGGAAAACUCACCCGGCCCGGACACCGGAAGGAUUGACAGAUUGAUAGCUCUUUCUUGAUUCGGUGGGUGGUGGUGCAUGGCCGUUCUUAGUUGGUGGAGCGAUUUGUCUGGUUAAUUCCGAUAACGAACGAGACUCUAGCCUACUAAAUAGACCCACGGUCCUUUGUACCGUGAGCGGGUCUUCUUAGAGGGACAGGCGGCUUUUAGCCGCACGAAACAGAGCAAUAACAGGUCUGUGAUGCCCUUAGAUGUCCGGGGCCGCACGCGCGCUACACUGAAGGAAUCAGCAUGUGUCUACCCUUGUCCGAAAGGACCGGGUAACCCUCUGAACCUCCUUCGUGAUGGGGAUAGGGGAUUGUAAUUAUUCCCCUCGAACGAGGAAUUCCCAGUAAGCGCGAGUCAUCAGCUCGCGUUGAUUACGUCCCUGCCCUUUGUGCACACCGCCCGUCGCUACUACCGAUUGAAUGGUUUAGUGAGGUCUUCGGACUGGUUCAUUGAUCAGUUUCGGCUGUUAUUUGAGCCGGGAAGAUGAUCAAACUUGGCCAUUUAGAGGAAGUAAAAGUCGUAACAAGGUUGCCGUAGGUGAACCUGCGGCAG
rnacentral:rRNA from 1 species